rnacentral:rRNA from 1 species
UACGGGAGGCAGCAGUGGGGAAUAUUGCACAAUGGGCGCAAGCCUGAUGCAGCCAUGCCGCGUGUAUGAAGAAGGCCUUCGGGUUGUAAAGUACUUUCAGCGGGGAGGAAGGCGAUGCGGUUAAUAACCGCGUCGAUUGACGUUACCCGCAGAAGAAGCACCGGCUAACUCCGUGCCAGCAGCCGCGGUAAUACGGAGGGUGCAAGCGUUAAUCGGAAUUACUGGGCGUAAAGCGCACGCAGGCGGUCUGUUAAGUCAGAUGUGAAAUCCCCGGGCUUAACCUGGGAACUGCAUUUUGAAACUGGCAGGCUUGAGUCUGUAGAGGGGGUAGAAUUCCAGGUGUAGCGGUGAAAUGCGUAGAGAUCUGGAGGAAUACCGGUGGCGAAGGCGGCCCCUGGGCAAAGCUGACGCUCAGGUGCGAAAGCGUGGGGAGCGAAACAGGAUUAGAUACC